rnacentral:lncRNA from 1 species
GGAUGAAGCUCGCUUAUUGAAAGGUGGCUGACUUGAUUCGAUCGGAGCUUCACUAUUCUUCUGUUUCUUUUUCUGACCUUUAUCUUCUGUCUAACGUCGGUCAGAAGUAGCCUCGUCCAUGUGGAUGUACUUGUACGUGCAUUCGAAAAGUUCAGUAUAGGUCUGAGGGAGAAUUUUUUUCAAAGAGUAGGAGAAUCUGGAUCUCCUCAGACCCCUUUUCAUGAUCGAUAUAACUAUGUCCUCAUUGAGAUCUCUGACCUCAAGUGUGGCCUUGUUGAAAUGGGCCACAAAGUCUCUUAAAGUCUCAGUCUCUCUUUGUUUGACUGAGAAAAAACUGUCAGAUGUUCGUGGCGGCCUUCGACUAGUGCUGAAGUGGGCCAUGAAAAAAUAUUCGAAUUGUUCGAAGAAAUCGAUGCUUUCUGACUAAAGUCCAAAAUACCAGACUCGAGUAGCUUUUCGAAGAGUUGCCGGAAAAUCGAUGCAUAAAAGGGUGUCGGUUGCCCCCU